rnacentral:tRNA from 1 species
GCGUUGGUGGUUCAGUGGUAGAAUACUCGCCUGCCACGCGGGUGACCCGGGUUCGAUUCCUGGGCGACGCA